rnacentral:snRNA from 1 species
GUGCUCACUUCGGCAGCACAUAUAAUAAAAUUGGAGCAAUACAGAGAAGAUUAGCAUGGCCCCUGUAUAA